UACGUAGGGGCCUAGCGUUGUCCGGAUUUAUUGGGCUUAAAGGGCGCGUAGGCGGCGGGGUAAGUCGGGUGUGAAAUCUCAGGGCUCAACCCUGAAACUGCACUCGAUACUGCUCUGCUUGAGGACUGGAGAGGAGACUGGAAUUCACGGUGUAGCAGUGAAAUGCGUAGAUAUCGUGAGGAAGACCAGUGGCGAAGGCGGGUCUCUGGACAGUUCCUGACGCUGAGGCGCGAAGGCCAGGGGAGCAAACGGG
rnacentral:rRNA from 1 species